CACAGGAGAGCUUGCUCUCUGGGUGACGAGCGGCGGACGGGUGAGUAAUGUCUGGGAAACUGCCCGAUGGAGGGGGAUAACUACUGGAAACGGUAGCUAAUACCGCAUAACGUCUUCGGACCAAAGAGGGGGACCUUCGGGCCUCUUGCCAUCGGAUGUGCCCAGAUGGGAUUAGCUAGUAGGUGGGGUAAUGGCUCACCUAGGCGACGAUCCCUAGCUGGUCUGAGAGGAUGACCAGCCACACUGGAACUGAGACACGGUCCAGACUCCUACGGGAGGCAGCAGUGGGGAAUAUUGCACAAUGGGCGCAAGCCUGAUGCAGCCAUGCCGCGUGUAUGAAGAAGGCCUUCGGGUUGUAAAGUACUUUCAGCGAGGAGGAAGGCGUUGYGGUUAAUAACCGCAGCGAUUGACGUUACUCGCAGAAGAAGCACCGGCUAACUCCGUGCCAGCAGCCGCGGUAAUACGGAGGGUGCAAGCGUUAAUCGGAAUUACUGGGCGUAAAGCGCACGCAGGCGGUCUGUCAAGUCGGAUGUGAAAUCCCCGGGCUCAACCUGGGAACUGCAUUCGAAACUGGCAGGCUAGAGUCUUGUAGAGGGGGGUAGAAUUCCAGGUGUAGCGGUGAAAUGCGUAGAGAUCUGGAGGAAUACCGGUGGCGAAGGCGGCCCCCUGGACAAAGACUGACGCUCA
rnacentral:rRNA from 1 species